UAACCCAGCGGGUGCUGUAAACAGUACGUUGGCGGUUCACACCAGUUCAGAAGUAAGGUAUCUUAAAUUGCACUCGACAAUGUUGUGAAUACUUUAAAAUGCUUGAAGCCAUACUUGAUGCCUUCCAUAACGUGUAAAGUAAGAAGUUAGCCUGUGUUAAAAAGUGGUGAUCCCUGCAGAUUACCAAGGCAUCCAGUCUCCCAGCAAGUGCCAAGAGGCAUUCAUUCAAUGCUCCGCUGACACCAAUUUGCCCAAAGAGUAUUUAUGUGGGAGACUCCUCAGAUUGUGGAGACCCCAGAUUGUGGAGGCUCCUGGGCAGCUGGUCUUUUUGUGGACUCCUAAAUCUGGCACUGAACAAAAUUCUCUCUCUCUCUCUCUCUCUCUCUCUCUCUCUCUCUCUCUCUCUCUCUCUCUCUCUCUCUCUCUCUCUCUCUCUCUCUCUCUCUCUCUCUCUCUCUCUCUCUCUCUCUCUCUCUCUCUCUCUCUCUCUCUCUCUCUCUCUCUCUCUCUCUCUCUCUCUCUCUCUCUCUCUCUCUCUCUCUCUCUCUCUCUCUCUCCUCAACUCUCAGCCACUGGAUGGUAUAUCAGUUCACACAGCAAGAAGCCAAGGACCCACCGAGGCUGUCACUUGGAAGAGGUCAUUGUUGUUGCAUCCAGCAUCCCAGCCUGACUGCCUAGACAGGUCCCGCAGGUUGCUGAAUGGCAGAGGUGCAGGCUGCUCCACAGCAAAAUGUGAGACCAGUGUGGCAGAGUAUGAUGUGUACACAAUGAGGGACACACUGUAGCCAACCCAGUAGAUUACCCGUGCUGCACUGCUGAUUGGCACCUCUGGAGUCGCUCGAUGAAGAAGAGGAUGCUGGCGAGGCCUGUCGUGUUAGCCGGGAUGCGCCGGUACAGAGCUGUGUCCGUUGGGGUUGUGUAGGCAAGCAUCUUCUUGGCAAGGUCCUCGUAGGUGGCCGCAAACAGUUUACGGCUGUGGGAUGAGAACUUGUCUUGUGAAUGUGACGUUGGGAGGAGGGAAGCACAGGGGAAGAGGAGGACGAGGAGGAAGAGAGUUAAGAGUCACAAGAGGAGGAGGAAGGUGGAAAGAAAGAGGAAGGAGAGGAGGAGGAGGAGGAGGAGGAAGAUGGAGAAGGAAAGGAGAAAGAUAAGAAGGAAGGAAAUGCCGCAGAAGGAGAAGAGCAAUAAGAAAUUAGAAUUGACAGAGAAACCAGACAAGGGACUGCAUUUGAAGAAGCACAAGAACCAAGAAAUUACAUCAUUCAAUGAAAUGACAACAUAAUCUAAAAUAGAAAUAAAAAACGUCACAAGACAGAAUAGUGAGCUGCAUGCACUUAUCACAGAGUAUAAAGUCACUCCCUCAGAGGAAAAAGACAAGGAUGGCAUGUCUUCAUGUGAGAACUCAGAAGCUAAAUGUACAGAUACCAAGGGGAAAUUGCUGGGUCAAGUGGCUACACUGACAUCUGAGGUUAGCAGGUUGGAGAGUGAGUGCAGCAGUCUUCAGGUUCAGCUAGACUGUGAGAGGGAUAAGUAUAACAAACUGCUGGGAGAAUCUCUUGCUCAUGAAAAGUUGUCUGAAGAUGUCAUAACUGAACCAAAAGGAGAAACAACAGGAUUGGGAGGAACUGAGCUUUAACAGAAGCUGCAACAACUGCAGGAGGCUCACAGGGUCCUGGAGAGCAGGUUAACUUGCAGCAUGAAGGAGGUGGCUGAGCUAAGUGACAGGAAGUAGCAGCUUAAGCAUGCUGUAGUGCAUGAGGAGACAGAGUCCAUCGGUGUAUGCAUGUUUUUUGCUCAUUUGAAUCAUCUGUAAAAGUGAAGUGGAGGAAGUGUUUACUGUUUACUGUAUGCCAUUUCCUUGGUCUUUUAAUGAAGAAUUUUAUCCUUCUUCAGGUGACUACAUCACCAUCUACCAGUUGCAGCGAGGAGUGAUGAAGCAACAAGCUCGAGAACGCGAGUUAGACCUUGCCAGCCUCCAUCAUGAAUGAGAGGAAAUGAAGCAAAACCACUCUGCAGGAUUUGAUAUCAAAGCUGGUGCAGGAAAAGGAAGCAGAUCAUGACCUUCAGCAGCUCGAGAAGAUAAGCAGCGUCCUUAAGAGUCCAGUUGCUAUCUUUAGCAGUGUUGGAACCAGUGAGUCUGAGACACCCACCAGCAGUGGAAAGCUGGCUGACGAGCGCCUCAAGCACUCUGAAAAGGUGGAGCAACAACAAGAAACAGAAAAUUGCAUCCAUCAUUCUUUGCCUGAGGAGGGAAUUGAUGCUCUGUUGACCCUUCACACUGAUGUCCCUCAUGAGGAGGCAGAAUAUGAAUCCUACAGAACUUGCCCAUAGAAAAACCAAAACUGUUACUGCUGCCACACUGCCACCACUUCCACUGACACCAAAAGCCCAACUGUGCAGAGAAUCCUGGACCUCCGCAAUGAAAUGGAGUCCACCAGUCACCUGGAGCACUUUAGCCUCCAAAAGUUCCAUCCGUGUCCAUUGUGUUUGGGUAAACUUA